CAGUAGCCGCGGUAACACCGAGGGUGCGAGCGUUAAUCGGAUUUACUGGGCGUAAAGCGUGCGUAGGCGGCUUCUUAAGUCGGAUGUGAAAUCCCUGAGCUUAACUUAGGAAUUGCAUUCGAUACUGGGAAGCUAGAGUAUGGGAGAGGAUGGUAGAAUUCCAGGUGUAGCGGUGAAAUGCGUAGAGAUCUGGAGGAAUACCGAUGGCGAAGGCAGCCAUCUGGCCUAAUACUGACGCUGAGGUACGAAAGCAUGGGGAGCAAACAGGAUUAGAUACCCCAGUAGUCCCUGUCUCUUAUAA
rnacentral:rRNA from 1 species